rnacentral:rRNA from 1 species
AUGAAAGCACACGUCCAGCAGUACGUGCGAUGCUGCCAAGUCUGCCAACAAGCCAAACCGGAUCAUGCUGCUUCACCAGGCCUGUUGCUACCCCUCCCUAUACCUAAGGAAUCAUGGGAUCUAAUCACCAUGGAUUUCGUGGAUGGAUUGCCGCAAUCAGGCCAAUACAAUUGUUUGCUGGUUGUCGUCGACAAGAGAACGCGGUUUGCCCAUUUCCUUCCUCUGGCUCACCCAUACACAACAUCUAAAGUGGCUCUGCUCUAUAUGCAACAGUUGUACAAGCUGCAUGGCUUCCCAGGGGCAAUUGUAUCCGACCGCGACCCAGUCUUUAGCAGUCACUUUUGGCAGGAGUUGUUCAAAUACACGGGCACAGAACUCCGGAUGAGCACGGCGAAUCACCCCCAGACCGACGGGCAGACCGAGAGGGUGAAUCAGUGCAUCGAAACCUACCUUCGUUGCUUUGUGCAAGCGUGCCCCAAGCGAUGGAGCUUCUGGGUGCCCUUGGCCCAAUUCUGGUACAACUCGUCGCACCACUCGGCGAUUGGGAUGACGCCGUUCAAGGCCAUGUUCGGAAGGGAGCCAAGGCACUGGGGGAUUACAGCAACAACAUCAUCAUCGGUCCCUGCACUGCAAGCGUGGCUCGAAGAAAGGGCCGUCAUGUAA